CCUACGGGAGGCAGCAGUAGGGAAUUUUCGUCAAUGGGCGCAAGCCUGAACGAGCAAUGCCGCGUGAACGAGGAAGGUCUUCGGGUCGUAAAGUUCUGUUGAAGGGGAAAAAGAGCGGAGAGAGGAAAUGGUCUCCGAUUGAUAUUACCCUUCGAGGAAGUCACGGCUAACUACGUGCCAGCAGCCGCGGUAAUACGUAGGUGGCGAGCGUUGUCCGGAUUGAUUGGGCGAAAAGGGUGCGUAGGCGGCCUUCUAAGUCUGGGGUGAAAGGUACCGGCUCAACCGGUACAGGCUCUUGAAACUGGCGGGCUAGAGAGCAGGAGAGGGCGGUGGAACUCCAUGUGUAGCGGUAAAAUGCGUAGAUAUAUGGAAGAACACCAGUGGCGAAGGCAGCCGCCUGGCCUGUUACUGACGCUGAGGCACGAAAGCGUGGGGAGCAAAUAGGAUUAGAUACCCGAGUAGUC
rnacentral:rRNA from 1 species